UGGAGUUUCUAUGAUCUAUAAUUUUCAAACUGGAAACAACGGACUGGGACUGCUUAUAGAAUAUGAAAAUGUAACCCAAAAUGUUUUAUUGUGUUUGGAAAUUUUGGGGUCUCUUUUUCUUUGCGAAAAAAAUAGUGAUUGUUGUGACCUAUUUGGACAUGCUAAAGCUUUAUCUACUAUACCAGAUGGAAAAUUAUCAGCCAUAUAUCUAUAGUCUGUUCCACUUUGAGAUAGCAGUGACAUCAUGAGUGAAGCGGUUGUGAUUUGCCUGUGAGAAAAAAAUAUUGAUCAGAAUACUUUCAUGUAUAAGGUUUUAGUCUCGCU
rnacentral:lncRNA from 1 species